AGAUAGACUUUGAGAUUAAGGUUGUCGUUUCAUACUUUUUAGAGUCUCGUAGAUAUGUUUAUGUUGUACAUUUAAGGAAUAUAAUGUUUCUGCGAAUAUGUUAUGAUUAAUAAAGUUAAAUUAUUUUACUUAACUCAAGUUUAUAUGAUUUAAGUAAAUAUGCUCUGACUAUUAACUUAUAAGACGGAGUAUGGUCCUUGACAAUACGUUAUAUUUAUAAGUUUCCAA
rnacentral:lncRNA from 1 species